rnacentral:lncRNA from 1 species
AGGCGAUGAGGGCCGCAGGUGGAGACGGUGGGCGAGCGUCGAUGUCGAUCUCCUCGAGGAGCAGGUGAGUCCGGGCCUCGGCGAACGACGGGAACGGACGCUGCAGCUUCAGUAUAGACACCAUGUGGCGGAACUUACCACUGAGGCCGCGAAGGAGAGUGAAGACCAGCUGGCGAUCACCGAUGGGAUCACCGAAUUCAGCAAGAGAUGCAGCCAUGGUCUCCAGCUUGCGGCAGUAAUCAGUGAUCGUCAUGGAGUCUUGACGAAGGUUGCGGAAUUGCGUCUCCAGGAGAAUGGCACGAGACUCCUUCUGGCCGAGGAAUUCGUCCUCGAGG